AACCCCAUCUCUACUUAAAAAUAUAAAAAUUAGAGAGAAACCCCGGACUGGGAUCAUGGCAGCAGAGACUUGGAACGCUGCUGGAGCAGAGGCCCCACCGCCCAGAAGCGCUACUACCGGCAACAUGCUCACUCCAACCCCAUGGCGGACCACACGCUGCGCUGCCCUGUGAAGCAAGAGGAGAUGGACUGAUCUGAGCUAUACCCAGAGUUCUUCACUCCACUCACUCAAAAUCAGAGCCACGAUGACCCAAAGGAUGAGAAAGAAAAGAGAGCUCAGGCCCAAGUGGAGUUUGCAGACAGGCUGUGGCUAUGGUGGCCCAUUAGUGGAACUGUCACCGCUGUUCCCAGACACACUGAUUCUGGGUCUGGAGAUCCGGGUGAAGGUCUCAGACUAUGUUCAAGACCGGAUUCGGGUCCUAUGCGCAGCUCCCGGAGGUGGCUUCCAGAACAUCGCCUGUCUCCGUAGCAAUGCCAUGAAGCACCUUCCUAACUUCUACAAGGGCCAGCUGAUAAAGAUGUUCUUCCUCUUCCCCGACCCACAUUUCAAGCGGACAAAGCACAAGUGGCGAAUCAUCAGUCCCACACUGCUAGCAGAAUAUGCCUAUGUGCUGAGAGUUGGGGGGCUGAUGUAUACCAUAACCGAUGUGCUGGAGCUACAUGACUGGAUGAGCACUCAUUUUGAAGAGCACCUGCUGUUUGAGCGUGUGCCCCUGGAGGACCUGAGUGAAGACCCUAUUGUGGGACAUCUAGGCAUCUCAACUGAGGAGGGGAAGAAAGUUCUACGUAACGGAGGGAAGAAUUUCCCAGCCAUCUUCCGAAGAAUACAAGAUCCCGUCCUCCAGGCAGUAACCCCCCAAUCCAGCCUGCCUGGUCACUGACUACAUACUCUACCUUAGCUGGACCUUGUCUUCCAGGGACUAGAGAAAAGAGCAAGAGCCCUGGGUCUUCCCAGUUGAGACUGCUGGAGCUGAGACACAGUACUCCCUCAAAGAAGGUGGGGAGCUGCCCAGGGCAGAACCCACUGGUGUUCAUGACUACCCCUGGCUCCUCUCACCUUGUCCCUCCACUGCCAACAUAAAACAAAGCAGCCGACUGAGAUGGUCAGAGGACUUUGGACCAUAGGGGAUCUUUGGAAGGCUGUGGGGUCUUGCUCUCCCUUAGCACUCCCUUCUUAUUUGAUCUCUCCUUAGCUAGAAUGAGGAAUGUAGUCCAUCUAAACUGCUUGCUGGGCUCAA